UACGUAGGGUACAAGCGUUGUCCGGAAUUAUUGGGCGUAAAGAGCUCGUAGGCGGCUUGUCACGUCUGCUGUGAAAACUCAGGGCUUAACCCUGAGCUUGCAGUGGGUACGGGCAGACUAGAGUGCGGUAGGGGAGACUGGAAUUCCUGGUGUAGCGGUGAAAUGCGCAGAUAUCAGGAGGAACACCGGUGGCGAAGGCGGGUCUCUGGGCCGUAACUGACGCUGGAGGAGCGAAAGCAUGGGGAGCGAACAGG
rnacentral:rRNA from 1 species